GAUGGCUAGUCACUACGUCAUCAUAUCCAAAAACGUCACUUCCGUGUCCACUCGUGUCCACUCGCUAACAUUCUAACAGUAAAAUGGUGCAGUGCUGUGUCCCGUGUUGCAAUAACCGCAACGACGUCAACAAAACAAUCUCUUUUUACCGAUUUCCCCUCGAUGAAAAAGAGAAGAAGAGAUGGCUGAAGUUGAUACGGUAAGUUGGAUCUCAAAUGAUGAACAAUAAUAACAGGCUAGUGGUUACUAACGUUAUGAGCUAGGUACUACUAGCGAGUGCUAGCUUUGUUUGUUUUGUCAGCACUUCAAAAUGCUUUCAAGGUUAUCGUUAUCGUUCUUGAACUGCUACCAGUAAUGUUACAUAUGCUAAGGAAGACAGCCAGUGUCUGUGCUGCAUAGGAAAUCAUAAAACUUCGAAGUGAGACUGACUUUUACUCUAGUAGACCUAGCUAAACAAACAACGCUGAAUUCCUUAACAGAUUCGGCAGUUGCUGGUCCUUAAAUCGGUCCUGAUUGAAAACCACUACACCUAGACUCUUCAAAUCUGGACUAAAUUAUCACAGUGAGGCUAUAAAUUAUAUAAAACAUAGUUACAGAUUUGUGAAACCUUUUUUCUAUUUGUGAAAAUGCAAUACAGGCUCAUUGUAAUGCUUUUUAGGGGUCCAGCCUGCAUUAGAACGGGUCCUGAUUGAAAACCACUACACCUAGACUCUUCAAAUCUGGACUAAAUUAUCAGUGAGGCUAUACAUUAUGUAAAACAUAGUUUCAGAUUUGUGAAACCUUUACCCUAUUUGUGAAAAUGCAAUACAGGCUAAUUUGAAUGCUUUUUAGGGG